rnacentral:rRNA from 1 species
AAGAGGUUCGAUUAUGGCUCGAUUGAACGCUGGCGGGAUGCUUUACACAUGCAAGUCGAACGGCAGCACGGACUUCGGUCUGUGGCGAGUGGCGAACGGGUGAGUAAUGUAUCGGAACAAAGGGGGAUAACUACGCGAAAGCGCUGACAUCGCGCUGCCCUUCGGGGGAAAGCGGGGGACCUCGGGCCUCGCACUGUCAGAGCGGCCGAUAUCGGAUUAGCUAGUUGGUGGGGUAACGGCCUCACCACACGAUCCGUAGCUGGUUUGAGAGACGACCAGCCGUUACCGGACUGGAGACACGGCCCAUAUUCCUCACGGAGGCAGCAGGUGGGGAAUUUUGGACAAUGGGGAAACCCUGAUCCAGCCAUCCUCCCGCGUGUGCGAUGAAGGCCUUCGGGUUGUAAAGCACUUUUGGCAGGAAAGAAACGGUAUCGGAUACCCUGUAAACUGACGUACCUUGCAGAAUACACCGGCUAACUACGUGCCAGCAGCCGCGGUACGUAGGGCAAGCGUUAAUCGGAAUUACUGGGCGUAAAGCGUGCAGGCGGUUCGGAAAGAAAGAUGUGAAAUCCCAGCUUAACUUUGAACUGCAUUUUUAACUACCGAGUUAGAGUGUGUCAGAGGAGAAAUUCCGCGUAGCAGUGGAAUGCGUAGAUAUGCGGAGGAACACCGAUGGCGAAGGCAGCCUCCUGGGAUAACACUGACGCUCGCGUAUCGAAAGCGUGGGGAGCAAACAGGAUUAGAUACCCCUGGUAGUCCACGCCUCUAAAACGGGAUGUCAAUUGCUGUUGGGGCCUUCUGCCUUAUGGUAGCAGCUUAUCGUGAAGUUAAUCGCCGCCUGGGGAGUACGGUCGCAAAGAUUACAAACCCAAAGGAAUUGACAGACCUGCACAAGCGUGGAUGAUGUAGAUUAAUUCGAUGCAACGCGAAAACCUUACCUACCCUUGACAUGUCUGGAAUCCCGAAGAAUGAAGAGUGUGCUCGCAGAGAACCGGAACAGGUGCUGCAUGGCUGUCGUCAGUCGUGUCGUGAGAUGUUGGGUUAAGUCCCGCAAUGAGCGCAACCCGCACACAUAGUUGCUACCAGUUGGCACCACGAGACCGCCGGUGACAAACCGGAGGAAGGGUGGGGAUGACGUCAAGUCCUCAUGGCUCCCUAUGGGUAGGGCUUCACACGUCAUACAAUGGCUGGUCGACAGGGUCGCCAACCCGCGAGGGGGGAGCCAAUCCCAGAAACCCGAUCGUAGUCCGGAUCGCAGUCUGCAAACUCGACUGCGAAGUCGGAAUCGCUAGUAAUCGCGGAUCAGCAUGUCGCGGUGAAUACGUUCCCGGGUCUUGUACACACCGCCCGUCACACCAUGGGAGUGGUUUUACCAGAAGUAGUUAGCCCAACCGUGAGGGCGAUUACCACGGUAGGAUUCAUGACUGGGGUGAAGUCGUAACAAGGUAG